AAGAUGGCAACUGUUAGAAAUUUUAUUUGAAAUAAUUGUGUGGUUUUCCAAGAAGCGUCAUUCAACAGCUGCUCCAUCCCAGUUCCUGGCAAAGCUGGUAAGGACAGUUUUCCAGACAUGACUUUGCUAAACCAAGGCAGGGUGUUAUUUUCAGUCAGAGUCCUCAGAAAUGAUUUUUAGCCUCAUCUCACCCUUCUAGUUUCUUAGAGUUCAGCUCAGAUUAAGCAGUAACUCAUCCAGAGAGAACAUGAAAAUAGUGGAAUCCAACACAAUUAAAUAAAUUCACAGUCAAGUCAUGUUAAGAAAUCUGAGUGUGUUUUCCCUUCCACUUGGGACCAUGCAACACCCAACUGCUGUUUCUGGGAAGAAUGACAGGUUUCAAGCACAAUGACAACUAAGCAAAGCAUUACUUAGACUGUCAGCUGAAGCAGAUGUGGCUAUGCCAUCUGAAGUCAGCUUUAUGUGGCAUUAAUAGAUUCAGUAUGUAUGUCACUGAGAAUCACUAAAUAUUGUUUCUCAUAUUAAACAGGAUCUGCUUCCCCUUUCAUUUUGGAGAGACCAAAACCUGUGAGAUUCUGCUCCACAUUCACUUUUCCAAGCUGAGAGAAAACUGAAUUCAGCUGUGGAAUUCUGAUUGUGGAUUCCUGAUACCUCUGUUCCAGCACACCUGUUUUCCAGCUGGGCUCUGGCUUCAUCCUUCCUCUGACUGACCCACAGCUGGGCUUGUAGCUGCCCAAGGACAGGCAGCAGUGCCAAAUACACAUUUAAGGGAGCCUCUAAUGAAUCCCCACUGAAAUUCCAUCAGCUGUGCAAAGUACAUUGAUUAAAUGCUACUUGCCACACAGGACCUAACCCCAGUUGCUGUCUCUUUCCAGAGGCAGGACAAAUGGCACAGACAGGGCCCUCUCUCCCAUCAGCAGUGGACUUGUGGCACUGAGAUGUCCAAGGGCAGCUGCUGGAUCACACCCUGAGGAUUGCUGCUGAGCUUCUGUUGUGGAAGAGCUGGCAUAGACAGGAAGAAAAGCUGCUUUUAAGGUAUGCUAAGAUAAAAGAGAGCAGCAGCAGCUCUGUGAGAAACUCCAGGGUUGCUCUUGCUGCCCUAGGAUAGUUGACUGUACACAUAUUUUGUCUGGAUGGCCAUUUUUAUUUUAGGGAUUCUUUAGAAUGGGCCUCUUUUUUAUAAGAGAUAAUUUCUUGUUAAAGUUGGCCUUUGAUCUCCAAGUGGAAGUUUGGGCACAAGUACAAUUUAAAAUAUUUCUUAACAGCAGAAAUUAUAAUAGUAGCUGUGUUGCCUUUUUGAAAGUAAGUUUUGUCUCUGCUAGUGAAUGUCUGCAAUUUGUGCUAUUGUUCCUCAGAUGAAAGUGUGGGGUUUUUUUACAAUGAAGAAUUCUCCUAUCAUAGAAUUGGAGAGCUCUGUGGGUAAAUAAACCUCCUUUAAUCUCCUUAGCCUUUCACUUGGAUCAUUUAUCUGCUAUAGAUCUAAUAAUUGAGAUGAAACCCACACAAUAUUUUAUUCUUUAAACUGACAAUGUGGGCAACAUAACACAGCUGGCAUUUUUCUCUCUUUCACAUUCAUUUUGGGACAUGUGUGGUGGCCAAAUGACACUGCCACAGCCCACUGUCCUGAUGUCACUAAGGGCAAUGAGGCCGUGACCUGGCUAUCUUUGUCCAGCUGUUAAUUUUUAGAAGCUUUGGGAAGAUUUAUCUUCUAUGGGGGGCUAUGAAUUUUCAUUUCCAUUAAAAUUUAUUCAAACAAAAUGAACACAAGUCCCUUUUAAACACAGAAGUUUUGGGUUUGUGGUUUGUUGUUUUUUUUUUAAACUGCAUAACUGCAGCUGUUUUUUGCCUGAGAACCCGAGUCAGCACAUGGUGUGAAAUAUUGUUACAUGCAUUUCAGAAAGUCAAAAGCCCAAAUAUUGUUGCUGUGCAGGAGAAGUGAUGGGGUUCUUGAGAAUAUGAGUGGUGAGCAGUUACUCAGACUAAUAACAGGAUGUCUGCAGUCCACUAAAGAGCAUUGGCAAUCACUCAGACACCUGAGCACUGCACAGGGAGGACAUCCACAGCAGCAAAUGUUCAGAUAUACUGCUGAAAAUACAUAACAUUUCUGUGAAUAAAUGAAGCCCAGAGUCAUGCUUGGUAUACUCAGGAUCUAACUAACAAAGCAGAUUAAAUGUGAGUGGGAGAUGCAUGACUUGAGAUCUAAUCAGUGGAAACACACACAACAAAAUGAAGGGGAAACUGGUGGAGUGUGUAAAAAGAGGGAUUGGGAAGUGGGUUUUGAGCUCUGAGCAUGUUGCUGGGCUCUCUCUGUGCAGUGUGGCACUCACUGCUCUGCCUCAGCAAAGGGGGUGGGUGGAAACUCAGGAUUGAAACCCUGUGCCUGGACACACUGAAUGAGCCCCUUUGGCCUUUUGUAAUCAGGAUUUGUUCCAGGGGCUGCAGAAGGGAGAAAAGGGUCCAAACCCACAUUCCUCAAUUAGCCCUGGUGCAAUUAAGUGGCCUUUCUGCAUUUGCAGUUCCCUGUGUCUCAAUAGAUAGUAGUUAAUAGUUUUAAUUAGCUGCAACCAGAUAAUUAAAUCUGAUGGGCAUCUUGAUAGGAACAACUUGUCAUGGCACAAGGCUUCAUAAAGUUGACAGUGGCUCUCUAGGCAGCAACUGCUUUUGAUGGAAGAUCUCCAAACUGCUUAAGGUGUGUUUGAAAUAUUAAAAUAGAAAUGGUUGCUUUGUUUCCUGGCUGGCUCCAGCUUGAGCAUUAGGUCACAUCAAAGUCAAAGUGUAUUUUUAAUGAUCAGUGCUAGCUGGGGUGCUGGGCCUUGAGGGAUGAUCUGGGAAAAGGGAGAUCAGGACUAAAUUGGCUUCUCUUUAGAGUGCUGGGAAGAGAAAGGCAAGCAGGAAUGACCUAAUAGUGUUCCAUAGUCACUUUACAGACUAUCUCCAUCAGAAAUAAAACCAAAAUUUCUACAUUGAAAGAAUCUAAACAGAUAACCCAGCCUCCAUGCCGGUAUUGUUAUAAAAAAUAAUAAGAAAUAUAACUAUAAAAAAAAUCUGUGUAAAAACUAAUAUUAUUCAUAAUGUCUGGUUGUACUUCAGAUCAUUAUUGUAUUGUAUCCAAGUUUGAGGUUAUUAUCCUUAAUUGACCAUGAUUUCUUUCAUCCAACAGCUUGGCAAAUGACACAAUGGCAAGUUUUGGAUAAUUAAAUAAAUAUUUAUAAAUUAAUACCCAGUAUUUCUCCAUUCCAUCAUUCCAAAAGACCUUUAACAAACACAUUUUCAAAGGAAUUAUAACUUUCUUUGUGUUAUGAGUAAUGCAAUAUUAAACAUAUACCUAAACUCUUGAAUUGUGGCUUUAUCUUUGUUGUUAGUGAUCAAAUACUUAUUGCAUUGAUUAUUCAAACAAUUAGACAUUUUAUCAGUUUCCUUGAAAGGCUCAGAAGUAAAGAACCAAACCCCUUGAAGGGCUGUCCAAUAUUUAUUUUACUGUCAGCAGAAGGAUCAUUGGGCAGGAGGAUACUGCAACAGGGGGAAAAAAGCAUUUGUUGCAGGAAGUCUCAGACUUUCAAAGUGAGUGCUCUACAACCUUUGCUGUGCUGCUUCUUGCAAAAAAAAAAAAAAAAAAAAAAACCCAAACCAAAACCUGAAAACUGGAGGCCAGGCCCACACCUGAGGAUACCUAUCACAACUGCAGGAGCAUUAAAGGAAGCAAAGCCAUCCCUUACCCAGCUGAAGGCUCUGCUCAAACAUCCAUUCUGCUUUGACUUAAGUGGUGUUUAAAGACAAUAACAUGAGGAAAAUCUGCAUUUCACCCUUGCAGAAGAGAUGAUGCAACGCUCCUAUUUUUAUGCACGAAAAUAGAAUUUAAGAUCAUAUAUAAUUAGAACUGGAGAUGUAAAUUCCUCAGGGUUUUUUAAUGAACAUCAAAUAGUGGCACCAAUGAAAUCCCGAUGUUUUUAAGGUUAUAAUUUACCAGUGGCAUGAAAUGAAAAAUUAGUAUUUAGAUCUUUGUUAUGCUUAAUCAUUUCAAGCUUUCUGACUGCUGUGAGGAUGUCGUGGAACAUUAGAAUAAAAUCAGCUCGAUGCUCAUGCAUAAUGUGCAAGAAGUUUUUUGUUUUCUAUAAUUUCUACUCUUUCAUACUAAUUGUCAUCAGCAGAGGAUGCAGGCUGCAGUUGUCUUGCUAAAUAUAAAUAUAGCUACAGUAUUUUUUGUUCAAUUUAUUCAUUUAUCUCACCCUGGGUGUAUGCAGCAUGUAAAAUGUAUCUCAAGAAAGAUAAAGAGAGUAUUUCAGUGUGUGUGCACUGUAGAAAUGAGAGGUGUAGAAUGUAUGAGUGCUUUUUAUUUUUAUUGAGAAACAAAAUGUAAGAGUGAUUGCCAUCCCUUUCUGCCACAGAUUUUGGUUAUGGCUCCAUGCUCCAGAUGCUUAUGGAAGAAUUGAGAAAUAUAUUCUCCAAAAAUUCAGACGUGGUAAUAUUAAAUGACUUAAAUAUUAAUUAUUUUACAAUUUCAAUCAUUUAAAGUAUUAUCUAGGAAAAAAGAGUUCACCAUAAAUGCUUUAUAACAAAACAAAAUCCUGUUAUACCUAUAUAUCACUGUAAGUAAAAUUUUAUGUACAUAAGCUAAUAAUGAGAUUAAAUGUUUAAUUUCACUAUC